ensembl:lncRNA novel transcript
AGGAUGCUCGGUGCUGGCAUCUGCUAGGCUUCUAGGGAGGCCUCAGGAAGCUCACAAUCAUGGCAGAAGAUGCAGUCUCGCUCUGUCUCCCAGGCUGGAGUGCAAUGGCGCCAUCUCGGCUCACUGCAACCAGGUGAGGAACCAGGCCCUGGGAGAAGAAAAGCGAGGUGCUCCAGGUCAUGGUGCCAGCCAGAUCAGGUCUUUUUACUCCUGGAGCGGAUGUGGCAAGAGGAAGAGGAAGAGAGAGGAGACUUCGGAAGGAGUGGAGUCAUUCUGGGAAGAGGGAAUGUUGAGAAGGGCACAGCUUUGAGAAGCCUGUGCAAGGGCUAGGGGAUGGGGCAGGGACAAGAGAUAGGGGUGUGCUGACGGCAGCUCCUGGGUUUCUGGCUGUGCUGAGCAGAGAAAAUAUGAAGGAGACGCAGGCUUGGGAGAAGAUGGACACUUCAGUUGUUGAUGUGUUAAGUGGGAGGUGCUGUUUAUACCACUGAAUGGACUUCUCAAGGGAGCAAGUAGGUAAACAGUUGGCCCUCCGUAUCCACAGGUUCCAUAUCUAUGAAUUCAGCCAACCUCAGAUCACACAAAUAAAAAACAAUACAAUGAAACAACUAUUUAUAUAGUAGCAUUUACAUUGUAUUAAGUAUUGUAGGUAAUCUAGAGAUGAUUUAAAGUAUAUGGGAGGAUGUAUACAGCUUGUAUGCAAAUACCAUCGAGGGAAGAGAGAGACCCUCUCAUAUUGUUUUAUAUUGUUUUAUACUCAGUACCUGUUCUAAAAA